rnacentral:rRNA from 1 species
AUUCCAGCUCCAAUAGCGUAUAUUAAAGUUGUUGCAGUUAAAAAGCUCGUAGUUGAACCUUGGGCCUGGCCGAUCUGUCUUCCUAACCGUUGUACGGAGUCGGUCGGGCCUUUCCUUCUGGGGAACCUCAUGCCCUUUAUUGGGCGUGCUGGGGAACCAGGACUUUUACCUUGAAAAAAUUAGAGUGUUCAAAGCAGGCCUUCGCUCGAAUACAUUAGCAUGGAAUAAUGGAAUAGGACAGCAGUUCUAUUUUGUUGGUUUCUAGGACCGCUGUAAUGAUUAAUAGGGAUAGUCGGGGGCGUCAGUAUUCAAUUGUCAGAGGUGAAAUUCUUGGAUUUAUUGAAGACUAACUAUUGCGAAAGCAUUCGCCAAGGAUGUUUUCAUUA